rnacentral:lncRNA from 1 species
CUCUCUCUCUCUCUCUCUCUCUCUCUCUCUCUCUCUCUCUCUCCUCCCCCCUCCUCUCCUCACUUAUCACUCUCCCCUCCGCAGCCAUGCCACCUGUCCCGUUGCUUGUCACUUCCCCUCUGAUAUGCCUCCUCUGCCAUCUUUUCCUAUUCUUCCUCCACCUGCUCCUCUGCCACCUUCUAUUUUUCCUUCUCUCCUCCUCCCUCUUCACUCCCUCUUUUGCCGUCUUCUCCGCCUUCUCUUCCUCCAUUGUUCCUCUUAAUUCUCCACCUUCUGCUUCGUCAUUGUCAUCGUCCUCCUCCUUGUUCUCUACCUCUUUCUGUUUGGUCUGUGCUAACCAAUAUGCUGUCAUACUGUGUCAGUAUGAUUAUAUGUAUUGGACCUUUAUCAAUCUAACCAGCAACUGUUAUGUGUCUGGUAUGAGAUUUUGGACCUUGAUGUUGAUAUCAUUUACAUGGGAGAAACUUAUUAAUAAGUUCUAAAGGAAACUAUUUGUGUGGUGCCAGAAAUUGUUGAGCUCUGCUUCCAUAUAGAGGGGAUUGUUGACUAAUCUGCUUACAUACAGAGGGAUACAAGGGGAAUCCUGAUUUUAAUAUACAUAAUCUUCAAAAUAAGCCGACUAUCCUCUCUGCGUUCUGAUCUAAAUGUUAUGAUGACUAACAAACCAUAUCCAAUUAUUGGAGGUUAGAACUGAUUUUUGGCAUGGAUUCCUGCAUCCAACAACUACAUUUAUGUUGGUUAUGCAUCCAUGUUUUUGCAAGUUGGAUGCUCAUCGAACUUUUCAGUUAGAUCUUUAUAGAAAGUGGAUCUCUUAUGGUUCUAAAGUUUCUUCUGAACUUAAAUUUCAGAGUUUCACACGACAUUAUAUUUUAUCUACAUAUUACACCUUUUAAUUUUCUUUUGUAGUCUCAUGUCUCCAUUUUAUUCUCCCAAUGAAUUGGAUAUUGGUUACACAUCUGUAUCACAGUUUUGUGCUUGUGUCCAUGAAAUAAUAUUUGCUUUUAAACUGGUAAAUUUUCUAUCAUUGGUAAGUAAUGUAAUAUAGAGACCUUUAAUAUAUAUUAGCAUCGUGGUCAUUUCCAUUGAGCUUAAAGUAUGUUUGGAUUAUAUAUUUCGAUACUUAUGAUCUCCAUUGUCAUACUUAGUGUAUAUUGCAUGAAUAAGAACCAUUCUGCUCUGUAACAUAUGUGAAUCACCACCCUUAUUGUUAUUCUGCUUUCUUCAGCUUUGGCUAAAAGCAUUGGGUUGCGAAAUGAUGCGCGGUUGGAUGAUCGUUCUUAUUGGGUUAGUCUUGUCACAUCACUUUCUAUAUCAUUGGCUAUUCCUUUAGUAUAUCCCAGGAUGAUAACAAUUCAUAACCUGACUGCCAAGGUAUGUAUGGUCAAUUGUUGUUUAAAAUUGAACAUCAAACUUAAAGCUAGUUCUAUCAAAAGUUUGUUUGCAUUCAAACUACUCUUAUGCUGCAGGAGGAUGAUGAAUCCCUUUUACCUGCUAGUAUUCCUCUUUCUAGUGAGAACAUAAAUGAUGAUGGAAUUUAUCUCCUGGAAAACGGUGAAGAUGGCCUGAUUUAUAUUGGGAACAUGGCCAACCCAGAGACUCUUCAACAGAUUUUUGGAGUUUCUUCUGUGGAUGGGCUUCCAGCUCAGGUAACAUUUGUUUCUUUCAGCUUCGUUGCAUUGACAACUGAUCUAUAUAUCAUGGUCCUUUCUAUUUACUCACCAAGCUGAAAACAUUAAAAUAUCCAUGAUCUUGAUGAAACUUUGAUGGCUAACUAAGAUGAUUUACCCCGCUCAUCGACAGUAAUGUAUCUGAUGAUCUAACUCUUCUGCGUCUGUGUCCAUUUGUCUGUCUAUUUGUUUGAUUUUGUGAUUGCAUGUUUAUGGAUAAGCUUGUAGGUGAUGCUCAUUUCUGUGUAUGCAUGUGUCUUUGUCUAUUCUGAUUUGUGUUUUUUCUUGUUCAUGUCUGUCUCUUUGCAGAAUACAUGAUUACAUCAUGUUAUAACAAUCCUCAUUUCAAAUACUGUACUAACAUGAUGGGUGUUUAUUUAGAUUUUAUACAUCAAAGAUAUUACAAUUUCAUUAAGCUGUAGCUUUAAGUAGUACAUGCAUUGGAUAUUUGUCCGAUUUUUAACUAUCCAUGUGCUUAACUGCCAAAGACAUGGUGCUUUGCCACUGUUAAUCGGUUAGCAUGUUUUGUUACUUACUGUUCUUGGUCAAUGCAGCUUGUAUUGGAGCAAUUUGAUAAUGAUCUGUCAAAGAAAUUAAAUGACAUUGUUAAUGAGAUACGAAAGCAGAGAUGUUCAUAUCUACGGUAAGCAGAUGCUUUGCUUUUGUCAUUGUUUCUUAACAGAUCCAUUUUUGUAAAACAUGCUUAAAUUUUAAUUUUUCUGCAGUUUGAGGCUAUGCAGAAAGGGCGAUCCCUCAGGUCAGUUAUAAGUUGAAACCAUAUGAAGCAUGAUAUUGUUUUGUUGUUUAAUAUUUUGUUUGGAAUUUUUUAUACACAAGUGGUUGAUUUAAUUUGUGAAACUCAAUGAUACAGGCAUGCAUUUUAUGUCAUAUAUGGUCGAAGAUAAAACUCCUGGAGGCCUCUCCUAUGUUGAGUUCCUUGUACAUGUCCACCGGCAAAUCCAAACAAAAAUGGCUUGAUCAAGAAAUAUUCGUGCACAAAAUUUUGGUUGACAUUGGCAUUUUGAUUUUAUGGAAUUUAAGUUAAAAUCAGAAAUGGGCAACCAACAAGAGCACUGGAUGCUUCUUUGUACUUGCUGAGUGCAAUUUCUGCUGACUAGCUCGGCACAUGAGUGAAAACAGGUGCCAGUUUCCGAUGCUUGCAAUUCUCAAACUGAUACUUGGAAGUAGACAAAAUCGAUAGUAAAGGUGCAAUAUCUGCCUGUUGCUUUUCUAGAUAUUUCUUUUGAUUCCUUGUAGACUCAGAGGGUGUAUGAUAUCAUCUUGGUCGAUUAUAUUGUUAUAAUUUGUUUGGGUUUACAAUUAAUUGGGAGGUUUUCAUUUGUAUCUUCAAUUAUCUUUAGAAAGGUCUAAGGUCAAAUAUCUUUGUGAGCUAUUCAAGCAGGGUUGUUGAUGAGUGUCAUUUGGAUUGUACCUAAUCAAAUGUUUGCUUUUACUGAUAAGUAGUAGCCUUGUUUAUGUGAGGCAGCUUCCACGCUUAUCGUGGCUAUGGUGGCGGUAGAAACUAAUGACUGGUAGUGAAUAUGAGCUAUUCUUUAUAUUUUCAAACAGACAGACUAAGAUGACAAAACUUGUGCAUUUGGGCUUUUUUUCAUCUGUGGUUUGCUGCAUGUUAGAAGUCUUCAUAGCAACUAAACAUUGAUAUAUAUGGUGCAUUUCGUAGUGUAUUAAUAGACUCACUCAUCAUUAGCUAAUUAGGGUCAGCUGAGUUUUUAAUAUUUCACCAUUGCUUUUGUGGAGGUCUUCUGUGUCAGUCUUUGUAAACCUGUUUUCUUUAUGUAUUAAUUGCAUGCUAAACCUGCCACCAUAUCCACUGCAAGAAUACUUCCCUCCGUGAACCCAUCGACUCAGGAUAUUGUUUUAUUAGUGCCUUGUAUCCUCUUUCCAUUCUCCCUAUAUUGCUAUACUAUUUGUGCAUUUCUAUCAGGCGAGUGAUUUAACCAAUCGCAAAUGACAUCCAAGUGAUUCUUUUGAAUUUGCAAGCUGCUCCCCCGGAUUGAAAUAUUUUCAGAUUUUAGCUGAUAAGAAGAGAAAAUUGUGGUAGUCUAAGUGUAUUAUAAGUGCAUCAUUGAUUGUUAGGUUCAUCAGAUAAUUGAAAUUACUCUACAAGAGCCUUAAAUUCCCAUAGUGUUUUCUUUUAUUGGGUGGAGAUUAAAAACUUCAAUUACUUUCUAAGGAUAAUAUUUACUGGUUAACUAAGUUACAUGAUUAGUAUUUUCAGGAUGAGGAUCCAAAGAUUAAGUAUUAAUGAUUAGGAGUCACACUGUGUACCUUACUAAAUAUUGACUCUAUUAAAUAAAUAUAAUUUGAUUCGAUUUUAUGCUUGAAUGAUCAACAGAAGCUACUUAUCUAUUAAGUUAAUUAAGAAAAAGAUAGAGAAAAUGAAAAAAGAUUUACAUAUGCUUUUUAUGGAUGAAAGCAUAUGAUAUGAUGGAUUGUAGAAAGUAAUAUGUACAUACUAAUUAUAUUGAUGUUAUAAAGAAUAUCAACAGUAUAGUUAUUAACUAUAUUAAAAUUUCAUAAAGCGUGUCUAAUAGGUUCUGUGUGAUAUAUCUUUUAACUUUAAAAUAAUAAUUUAUAAGAGUCAUUAGGUCAGUGAUGUUUUAUCUAAGUGUCAAACAAUUAAAAAGAAUAUCGAGUUGAAUAUAUGGAUUUACUAAAAAAAAUAAAUAUUUUUUCCCUGAAUAAUUAAUUAGGUAUAAGUUGGAUGGAUAGCUGGAUAAAAUUGAAAGAAUUAUUAAAUAGUAUUCAGUAUCUGGAUUUACCAUGAAGUGGCAAGCACAAGGGAAUGCUGGUUACUAUGACAAGUGGCAUCAGUCUUUAUACUCACUACUCUUUGCUCACAAGUAUAAAGAAGGCAAAAAAAUUGCAGCUUUAUUACUCUUCAACUUGGGACCAUGGAACAAAAGCUCUAAAACACUCUCUUACAUGAAACUGUGGCCCGGUAUAAUAAGUUCCCUUGUUGGAUUAGAUGUGGGCGCCAGCAACAGGCAUUAAUGCCGUGUAGAAAUUGUGGCUUUUUAUUUCCUCAAUUCUCAUGAAAUGAAAAGAGAAAAAGAACAAAAAUUUCUGGUAGAAAAAUUUGAUGGAGUGUUGACAUGAUCAUGAUGUUCUGCAAACUUGAUGAUUGCUACUUCCUCCCAACACAGGACUCUGCACUUUUUCCCACUUCACCUUUCUUGCUUCUUCCCUCUUCACCUCUCUUGUUUGCUAGAUGGGGGAAAGCACCCAAAAUGUUAUGGGCCCUCAGAUCUUGCCUUGUCAGAAUUCCUACCACAGGAGAUAUCUGCACAACAACAUAAAUUAGCAACUCAGCAGCAUCCCAAAUCAUGAUUUCUAGUUUCAGGACAUAUCGACCAGAAUUUAUUAGUGUCAUAAUAAGGAUCAUCAAUAUUGAAUUAUGCAUCAUUCUGUAUAUUUCUUUAUCGACUAAGCUAAUUGACAUCUUAGUUUAUUAGAUAUUUAGCUAUGUGAUACUCCAAUUCUUUUCCAAACAUGUCAGACACAAUGUAAGAAGGUGAGUCUUCAUUGAUUUUAUUGUGUUGUUGUUGUAGAAGCAAGUAGAAGCAAAUGAAGGCUGUGUUUGCUAAUGGCAGACUCUUCAAGUAAAUGUGGAGGAAGAAGAGAGAGUGAGCUCACCCCUGCGCCCUGGUACUUGGGGAUCACCAGCAAAUGGCGGAGGCCGACCUGUCGAAAGAGCACCACGGCCUUCGCCACCGACAUGCUCUCCACCACCGUGUACGGCGUCGUGUUGGUGAAGGGGUGGAGGUCGACGUACAUGUCCAUCUCCUCCUCCGUCAGCUUCACGUGCUCCACCUUCUGCCCCUUCUCUGCUAGAUCUACCGACGUGAAUGCCGCCCGCACUUCCCACUCCGCCGUCCUCCUCCUCUCCUUCAGGAACCACUUCUUGCUCAGCACCGCUACGAGGUGCGCCCGCAGGACUAGGCCGUGCAGCUCCGUUGUGCCGGCUGGGGACGAUGGCGCUCCCUGGUCGACGACCGGGAAGCCGUUGUGGCUGGUGUGCUUCAGCACGUCGACGACUCGGGCGACCCUCUCGAUGCCCCGGAGGCUGACGAUGCGGGGUUUGGCGGCUGCAAGCUCCCCCACCGUCAGAUUCCUCAUCCAUGGCUCAGGGCUGGCUUCCAAGAACGGCAGACCCUUCAGCUCGAGUAUGAUUUCGUAAAUGCUGGGGUUGAAGGAGUCGCCCACGGUCUUGGCGAUGAGCAGCACGAACAUGGUGAUGGGCAGCAGGAGGAGGUUGUUGGUGAGCUCGAGGAAGAUGACGCAGAGGGAGACGGUCAUUCUCAUGGAGCCGGACAUGAGCGCCGCGGCGCCGAGCACGGCGUAGAGGCCCUGGUCGAUGUGGAUGAAGGACCUGAGCGCGAGCGCCAGCAGGCGGCCGUACGCGGAGCCCAUCAGGAUGAUGGGGAGGAACAACCCCGAGGGGACGGCGAUGCCGAAGGUGACGAGGCCCAGCACGCAGUAGAGCGCGAAGAAGAUAAGGAGGGAGAUGCUGCGGAACUCGUUGGGCGUGGAGGUGGAGAAGAUGUUGCGCACCGCGUCGUCGUUGGUGGCAUAGAGGAGGCUGGCGAGGUCGUUGUAGUAGCCAUUGGGGCAAUUGAACUGCUUGAAGUUGCCGCUUCCCUCGGGAGUGGGGCAGAUGGUCUCCGACGAGGGGUCGCAGGGCGUGCAUGGUGCCAAGAACGGGAGGCAGUAAAGGCAGACCGAGGUGAAGAGCGAGACAGCAAGACUAAGCAGCAGCUUCGCCAUUCUUCCUCUCCUGCGUCAUCACAAUAACAACAAACAUCAUCGAAUCUGAUCUCCCAUGGAGGAAGGAAUCCGUGACAGAAGCUCACUCGUUGAUGAGGCUGUAGACCCUGAGAAUUUUGUGCAGGACGUAGUUGUAGAGGCUGCCCAGCAAGCCGCCCAACACGCCGACGAGCGCCACCGGGAGGAGGUCGUUCACAUGGUACGUGACGGUGACGUCACUGACGUCGAAGAGGAUGAGCCCGCCGCGGCCGAACAAGCCGCACCUCCCGGAGUUGCAGUACUCGAUGAAUCCCCUGAGCACGACCACCACGACCGCGGUGCUGAAGAAGGUCCGCCACAGCAGCGCGCUCCGCCACCACGUCGCCACCUCCUCGAGCGCGAACAGGACGCCGCCCACCGGCGAGCGGAACGCAGCGCAGACCCCGGAGGAGGCUCCGCAGGUGAUGAGGUCGCGCCGGUCCCGAUCGUUCUUGAAGUAGCGUAGCCACUUCCACCGGAGGCGGUAGUUCUCCGACCCGCCUUGGCCGAGCAAGGACGCAAAGCAGGCCCCGAUGUGCACCAGCGGCCCUUCUUUUCCCAGGUCGAGGCCGGCGGACACCGAUCCGAUGCUUCCAAUGAUCUGCAGAGGUGAAAGCGAAGGAUCCAAUCUCACUGCGGAUCGUCUUCAGAUCCAAGCUUCAGACUAUCUGCAGUCUAUCUCACCUUGACCACCAAUGUCGACACCCCAAACAUGUUCGGCGUAUCGACUCCGUUGAGGUAAGCCUUGAUCUCCGGAAUUCCAGGGCCCGCCGCAGUGGGAGCGAAGACGACACACAGAGAUGCCGCCACCGUGGUGAGAGCAAGGUUUACACCCGCCAAGUAAACGAAGCCAGUUAUGUACCUGCAAACACCGGCAACAAGAAUUCCUCUCGGUAUCAGAACGGAGGAGUUCUCGCUCGCCGCAACACGGAAAGGCGGGGGAGGAGAAGCAACUCAACUUUGGUCCUUCACGAAGCGGGCGAGGUAAAGCAUUUUGAUGCCGGCUAUGUUCUCGAUGGCGAGGUUGAUGAGGGAAGCCGUGACGCCGGUGAGGAGGCCGACGAGGAACGCCAGCGUCCACUUGAGGAAUAUGUACUGCAGCACCUCGGUGCUGGAUCUGCUUCUCCAGUCGUGUUUGAACAGGUCGUUCUCGUUAAUCCUGCACUCGCGGAGACGUCAGCAGAUGCAGAGAAGAAGGAAACCAGGCUUCCACCGCAGGGCAGGGUGGGGGGGAAAGUUCUUACUCGUAGUCCAAGCUCUCGAUGUGCGAAACCUUGGCACCGACCAUGGCGUAAUGGCUGGAGGUGAGGGUGGGGCUUCGCUUGAGCAGUGGCUGCUGCAGCGAGUUGCUUUCAGGAUCAAGCUCUCCUUCUCCUCCAUCGACCACCACUGCUGCAGCAGCAGGUGGGGAUGAACUCGAGCUGUCCUCCAUGGAUGCUGAGCUCGCCUCGCCUACAAUGGAGCAGGUUCAACUGACAGGGGAAAGGAGGAAGAUGAGAACUGACACCGAAAGCACACUGUACAUUUAAAGGGGUCACAGGCAUCAGGACGAAGGUUUGUUUAAUGCCCAUAUCUUCUUCCAUGGCAUCGAAGGAGGACAUCUGUGGCCCCUUCGACAUCCCUUUCGGAGGUAAAAGAAAAAAAUUGGGAAGCUAAAAUAAUGAAACAAGGACGGAGCACGGAAUCCAUGUGGAUUAGAUUAGAGCAAAUAAUGUCACCUUGCAAAUCUACAACUCCCUCGCCAUGGACAGCUUAAGACAAGCUUGUCUUCCCUUGGGACGACGGGGAGGGAGGCGGAUGGAGCGGUGGGCAUAUCCAUAUCCUGGUGGAUGCCAUCGGUGGACUAAAAUAUCCAUGCCACCCUCGAAUCAUCAUCAGACGUCACCGAAAUCUAAUCCUUGUCAUUUCCUCUUCCACCCUUCGAGUCUCACUGAUACAUUUCCAUUGAUGCCUGCAACCCAAACAUGAGAGAGAGAGAGAGAGAGAGAGAGAAGGGAAAGAGGAGGAGGCGGCUUCGGACUUGGGUGUAGGGAAAGGACAGGCGGUGUGGUCUCUUCCUCGCUAGCAAGGCACAAUGAAAGGAAGGGACAAUUGGACUUUUUGGAUGUCUCCUUGUGUUGCAAGAAUAUGGCAUUAAGCAUGGAGUCGAGUAUUAUAACUGGUCUUUGACAUUGUCCACAACGUGGUGGAGUGCCAUUAUCAAUCAAGGGUAUAUAUAUAUAUAUAUAAUCGAUUAAUCAAGUCAAAUUUGAUUGUGUAACAAAGACCUUUGGAACUCAAGAAAUCAGGAAAUAAUCAAUCGGUUUGUGGAAUUCCCCCAUGAUUGAUGCUUCUUGUGAUUGAUAAAUUUAUCUAUAAGAAUUGAGUGAUAGUCAUCAUAAUUAUUUUUAAUAAUAUUCAUAUUAUCUUAAAUAAUUUGAUCUCAUUUUAUUUUUAAUCGAAGUUACGUAUCAUUGUUCAUGAAUGAAAACGGAUAACCUAUCAAGAUCAUUUAAUUAAUAGCAAGAGUCGUAUUAUGAUUAUAUAAGGACUCGAACAUGUACAAUUAUUAAUCAUCACAUUACAUGCAUAAUCCUUUAUUUAUCAGUCCUAUUUUAAAUUAAUUCCUAAACUUUAUAUUUCUCGAUGAGUUUCUAAAAUUUGAUUAGGGUUAUCCUCAAGUCAGCUUUUUUUUUUGGAGGAAUACAAUCACAUAGAUGUGUGAAUGAGAAUGACUAUUGUUCCCAUCGUAUUCUUGUGGCAUUCGAGGGAAGAAACGAUGCUCAUCUCUAUCUUUCCCUUUCACUUUAGUAAAGAGAGAGAGAGACAUAGAUAUAUAUGGAGAAGAAGAAGAAAAAAAAGAUAAGGAAUCUAACAAUAAAAGCUUUCGAGGGGUUUAUGAAAGGAAGAAAAAGAAUAAGGAAGAAGCCUAAGCAAAAAGACAUGAUUAUUAUAUGAGAUUAUAUAUAAUUUGACACCGAAAACUUGUUAAGUAGUGAAUUUAAUCAAUCUGACUCUUUCAAUUCUUAAUUUUCUAAAGCCGUCAUGAAAUAGGACUUGAUUGAAAAGAUUCAUCAAACCAAUAUGAAGUUUUAGAGAUGCUUUGAAUAGGCCAUUCCAUUUCUUCCCACAGUUGCAUCACGUUUUGGGUUACACUCUGAGACAACAACUCUUCCUGAUUUGAAAAUGGGGAGCUGAUCCUCCAUUUAGCAUAUACCACAGAAUAACCUAACCUUGAUGGUCAAUGAUUUGUCAUUAUCAAAUCAUACAGGGCUCAAACAUGAAAUUGAUCUUAACAGCAACAAAAGAAGGAAAUUCCUCUCUUCAAACUCUCUUUUCAGUUCCUUUCCAGAUGUGAUUUUCCAACUCUGAAUGCAUAAAGACACCAUAAAAUAGAGAGAGAUCAAUUAUUUCUGUUUCUCAAAUCUUAUAAGACAACUCAAUGCACGAGAUCUUUGCAAGUAAAGAUAGAUAAACUACUACUUUUGCUUCUCAGAUCUUACUAGAUAGAUCGUAAAUGAAUAAUUCAAUGUUUAUCUCACGUUUAUGAGAAAAACCUAAAUUUCUCAUCGAAUAGAACAAAUACGUGAAUUAGAUAUGCGAUUUGCAUGUGAAAGUCAACGUGGCAAGCGGAGGAUGAAUUGGACGCUAAUGUCGUGCAUGUGGAGGAGGAGAGGCUUUUACAGUUGUGCAGGUGGAGACGGCACCGGUGGACCCAAUUCAAGCUGAACUGUUCGUCUACUCUAAAGCAAGCCUUAUCCCAAAUCUUCCACCCCAAGCAAACUACUCGACACCGGUCCUCGACAUUCAUCGUCUGCGAUCCAGAUCUAGUUUGCGGUCGACCAAUCCGAACAAGGCAAGUGUUCGGAUCACAGCAGCCAUCCAUGAAACAGAGGGCGGAGCUAAAAAUGGCUCUUCGGCGUCCCAAAGGCCAACACACCGUCUGCCUCUCUCUCUCUCAUUGGGUUCAGAAGAAUAGAGAAGGGUGGAAUCAUUGGUCCAACACCAGCUGAUGAUGCCCUCGACGAGCGAGCUUGACACAUCUUCUUCAAUCAAUCCAGAGAAAGUGGGGGCAGAGGUCCCGUGAACGGCUCCGCGAACAGGUGUUGUCAUGUAGGUGAAACCUUUGCUUCUUCUCUCUCUCUUUCGCGGGACAGGUCAAAUGGUUUUGUCUCUCCUCGUCCUCAUUGGUCCCUGCAAUCGUACUCUGAAUACAACACGCAUCUGUUCUUUGUUGCUGCUCACAUAAAUGAAGAUCUGAUUGUCCGUAAUUCCAUUUUGCGAGUGACUGUAUUCAUCGGUUUGAUUGCCAUCGUACUGAGAAAUCUAUGGCACAUCAAGUUUGCUAACGCCUCCUGUCAUUUGCAAGGAAUUUAGUGUUGGGAAUUGGAAUACAGCCUGACAAAUAUUUUGAAUGGGGAUAAAAAAUUAUUAUAUAUAUUAAACUCCUCAUCUCAUCAGUCUUCUGAUGGGACGACUGAUCUAUUAAUUUAAUCGGUUUAAA